rnacentral:rRNA from 1 species
ACUGGAAUAUCCUAAACACAUCUGGUCUCAUCAGAUUUCAGAAGCUAAGCAAGGUUGAGCCUAGCUAGUUCUUGAAUCAGAGACUACCAGGCAAUAAAUCUCCAGUU